GAUGAACGCUAGCUACAGGCUUAACACAUGCAAGUCGAGGGGCAUCAGGAAGAAAGCUUGCUUUCUUUGCUGGCGACCGGCGCACGGGUGAGUAACACGCAUCCAACCUGCCCUUUACUCGGGGAUAGCCUUUCGAAAGAAAGAUUAAUACCCGAUAGUAUAAUGAUUCCGCAUGGUUUGAUUAUUAAAGGAUUCCGGUAAAGGAUGGGGAUGCGUUCCAUUAGGUUGUUGGUGAGGUAACGGCUCACCAAGCCUUCGAUGGAUAGGGGUUCUGAGAGGAAGGUCCCCCACAUUGGAACUGAGACACGGUCCAAACUCCUACGGGAGGCAGCAGUGAGGAAUAUUGGUCAAUGGGCGGUAGCCUGAACCAGCCAAGUAGCGUGAAGGAUGAAGGCUCUAUGGGUCGUAAACUUCUUUUAUAUAAGAAUAAAGUGCAGUAUGUAUACUGUUUUGUAUGUAUUAUAUGAAUAAGGAUCGGCUAACUCCGUGCCAGCAGCCGCGGUAAUACGGAGGAUCCGAGCGUUAUCCGGAUUUAUUGGGUUUAAAGGGAGCGUAGGUGGACUGGUAAGUCAGUUGUGAAAGUUUGCGGCUCAACCGUAAAAUUGCAGUUGAUACUGUCAGUCUUGAGUACAGUAGAGGUGGGCGGAAUUCGUGGUGUAGCGGUGAAAUGCUUAGAUAUCACGAAGAACUCCGAUUGCGAAGGCAGCUCACUGGACUGCAACUGACACUGAUGCUCGAAAGUGUGGGUAUCAAACAGGAUUAGAUACCCUGGUAGUCCACACAGUAAACGAUGAAUACUCGCUGUUUGCGAUAUACAGUAAGCGGCCAAGCGAAAGCAUUAAGUAUUCCACCUGGGGAGUACGCCGGCAACGGUGAAACUCAAAGGAAUUGACGGGGGCCCGCACAAGCGGAGGAACAUGUGGUUUAAUUCGAUGAUACGCGAGGAACCUUACCCGGGCUUAAAUUGCAGUGGAAUGAUGUGGAAACAUGUCAGUGAGCAAUCACCGCUGUGAAGGUGCUGCAUGGUUGUCGUCAGCUCGUGCCGUGAGGUGUCGGCUUAAGUGCCAUAACGAGCGCAACCCUUAUCUUUAGUUACUAACAGGUUAUGCUGAGGACUCUAGAGAGACUGCCGUCGUAAGAUGUGAGGAAGGUGGGGAUGACGUCAAAUCAGCACGGCCCUUACGUCCGGGGCUACACACGUGUUACAAUGGGGGGUACAGAAGGCAGCUAGCGGGUGACCGUAUGCUAAUCCCAAAAUCCUCUCUCAGUUCGGAUCGAAGUCUGCAACCCGACUUCGGGAAGCUGGAUUCGCUAGUAAUCGCGCUUCAGCCACGGCGCGGGGAAUACGUUCCCGGCCCU
rnacentral:rRNA from 1 species